AGAGUUUGAUCAUGGCUCAGGAUGAACGCUGGCGGUAUGCCUAACACAUGCAAGUCGAACGAUGUCUUCGGACAUAGUGGCGGACGGGUGAGUAACGCGUGAGAAUCUGCCUCUAGGAUGGGGAUAACGGUUGGAAACGACCGCUAACACCCAAUAUGCCGUAAGGUGAAAAAUUUAUUGCCUGGAGAGGAGCUCGCGUCUGAUUAGCUAGUUGGUGGGGUAAGAGCUCACCAAGGCCUCGAUCAGUAGCUGGUCUGAGAGGAUGAGCAGCCACACUGGGACUGAGACACGGCCCAGACUCCUACGGGAGGCAGCAGUGGGGAAUUUUCCGCAAUGGGCGAAAGCCUGACGGAGCAAUACCGCGUGAGGGAGGAAUGCCUUUGGGUUGUAAACCUCUUUUCUCAGGGAAGAAGAUCUGACGGUACCUGAGGAAUAAGUAUCGGCUAACUCCGUGCCAGCAGCCGCGGUAAUACGGAGGAUGCAAGCGUUAUCCGGAAUCAUUGGGCGUAAAGCGUCCGCAGGUGGUUUCCAAAGUCUGCUGUUAAAGACUGGAGCUCAACUCCGGAACGGCGGUGGAAACUUGGAAACUAGAGUUCGGUAGGGGUAGCAGGAAUUCCCAGUGUAGCGGUGAAAUGCGUAGAUAUUGGGAAGAACAUCGGUGGCGAAGGCGUGCUACUGGACCGUAACUGACACUCAGGGACGAAAGCUAGGGGAGCGAAAGGGAUUAGAUACCCCUGUAGUCCUAGCUGUAAACGAUGGAAACUAGGUGUGGCUUGUAUCGA
rnacentral:rRNA from 1 species